UGGGGGAUAUUGCACAAUGGGCGAAAGCCUGAUGCAGCUACGCCGCGUGGGGGAUGAAGGCUUUCGGUUUGUAAACCUCUUUCGCUAUCGAACAAGGCCCGCUUAGGGUGGGUUGAGGGUAGGUGGAGAAGAAGCGCCGGCUAACUACGUGCCAGCAGCCGCGGUAAUACGUAUGGCGCGAGCGUUGUCCGGAAUUAUUGGGCGUAAAGGGCUUGUAGGCGGAUGGUUGCGCCUGCUGUGAAAACGCGGGGCUUAACUUCGCGCGUGCAGUGGGUACGGGCAGGCUUGAGUGUGGUAGGGGUGACUGGAAUUCCAGGUGUAGCGGUGGAAUGCGCAGAUAUCUGGAGGAACACCGAUGGCGAAGGCAGGUCACUGGGCCAUUACUGACGCUGAGGAGCGAAAGCAUGGGUAGCGAACAGG
rnacentral:rRNA from 1 species